AGGAAUAUUGGUCAAUGGGCGGAAGCCUGAACCAGCCAUGCCGCGUGCAGGAAGACGGCCCUACGGGUUGUAAACUGCUUUUGUACGGGAAUAAACCUCCUUACGUGUAAGGAGCUGAAUGUACUGUAAGAAUAAGGAUCGGCUAACUCCGUGCCAGCAGCCGCGGUAAUACGGAGGAUCCAAGCGUUAUCCGGAUUUAUUGGGUUUAAAGGGUGCGUAGGCGGCCUAUUAAGUCAGGGGUGAAAGACGGUAGCUUAACUAUCGCAGUGCCUUUGAUACUGAUGGGCUUGAAUGUACUUGAGGUAGGCGGAAUGUGACAAGUAGCGGUGAAAUGCAUAGAUAUGUCACAGAACACCAAUUGCGAAGGCAGCUUACUAAAGUAUGAUUGACGCUGAGGCACGAAAGCGUGGGGAUCAAACAG
rnacentral:rRNA from 1 species